rnacentral:rRNA from 1 species
UGGGGGAUAUUGCACAAUGGGCGAAAGCCUGAUGCAGCGACGCCGCGUGGGGGAUGAAGGCCUUCGGGUUGUAAACUUCUUUUGCUCUGAACAAGGCAUGCUAAUGGGUGUGUUGAGUGUAGGGGUUGAUUAGCGCCGGCUAACUACGUGCCAGCAGCCGUGGUAAUACGUAGGGCGCGAGCGUUGUCCGGAAUUAUUGGGCGUAAAGGGCUUGUAGGUGGCUGGUUGCGUCUGUCGUGAAAGCUCAUGGCUUAACUGUGGGUUUGCGGUGGGUACGGGCUGGCUUGAGUGCAGUAGGGGAGGCUGGAAUUCCUGGUGUAGCGGUGGAAUGCGCAGAUAUCAGGAGGAAUACCGGUGGCGAAGGCGGGUCUCUGGGCUGUUACUGACACUGAGGAGCGAAAGCAUGGGGAGCGAACAGG